rnacentral:rRNA from 1 species
UGGGGAAUAUUGGACAAUGGGCGCAAGCCUGAUCCAGCCAUGCCGCGUGAGUGAUGAAGGCCCUAGGGUUGUAAAGCUCUUUCACCGGUGAAGAUAAUGACGGUAACCGGAGAAGAAGCCCCGGCUAACUUCGUGCCAGCAGCCGCGGUAAUACGAAGGGGGCUAGCGUUGUUCGGAUUUACUGGGCGUAAAGCGCACGUAGGCGGACUAUUAAGUCAGGGGUGAAAUCCCGGGGCUCAACCCCGGAACUGCCUUUGAUACUGGUAGUCUUGAGUUCGAGAGAGGUGAGUGGAAUUCCGAGUGUAGAGGUGAAAUCCGUAGAUAUUCGGAGGAACACCAGUGGCGAAGGCGGCUCACUGGCUCGAUACUGACGCUGAGGUGCGAAAGCGUGGGGAGCAAACAGG